UACGUAGGGUGCAAGCGUUGUCCGGAAUCAUUGGGCGUAAAGCGCGUGUAGGCGGCUCGAUAAGUCUGCUGUGAAAGUUCAGGGCUCAACCCUGAAAUGCCGGUGGAAACUGUCGAGCUAGAGUCCGGAAGAGGCGAGUGGAAUUCCUGGUGUAGCGGUGAAAUGCGCAGAUAUCAGGAGGAACACCAAUGGCGAAGGCAGCUCGCUGGGACGGUACUGACGCUGAGACGCGAAAGCGUGGGGAGCAAACAGG
rnacentral:rRNA from 1 species